rnacentral:snRNA from 1 species
UUACUGGUUUCUCUUCAGAGUGUAUACGUCUUUCACCUUUUACUAAAAAUUUCAUGGAGAGGAACAACUCAGAGUCUAAAACCAAUUUUUUGAGGUCUUGUUUUGGCAAGGCU